rnacentral:rRNA from 1 species
UACGUAGGGUGCGAGCGUUGUCCGGAAUUAUUGGGCGUAAAGAGCUCGUAGGCGGUUUGUCGCGUCGACUGUGAAAACUGGGGGCUUAACUCUCAGCUUGCAGUUGAUACGGGCAGACUUGAGUUCGGUAGGGGAGACUGGAAUUCCUGGUGUAGCGGUGAAAUGCGCAGAUAUCAGGAGGAACACCGAUGGCGAAGGCAGGUCUCUGGGCCGAUACUGACGCUGAGGAGCGAAAGCGUGGGGAGCGAACAGG